GAUGAAGAACGUAGCGAAAUGCGAUAAGUAGUGUGAAUUGCAGAAUUCAGUGAAUCAUCGAAUCUUUGAACGCACAUUGCGCCCCUUGGUACUCCAUGGGGCAUGCCUGUUCGAGCGUCAUUUACACCCUCAAGCUCAGCUUGGUGUUGGGCGUCUGUCCCGCUUCGUGCGCGGACUCGCCUCAAAUGCAUUGGCAGCGGUCUUGCCAGCUUCUCGCGCAGCACAUUGCGCUUCUAGAGGCUUUGGCGGAUCGGCGUCCAUCAAGUACACCCACAGUUUGACCUCGGAUCAGGUAGGGAUACCCGCUGAACUUAAGCAUAUCAAUAAGCGGAGGA
rnacentral:misc_RNA from 1 species